AUUGAACGCUGGCGGCAGGCCUAACACAUGCAAGUCGAGCGCGCGGCGGACGGGUGAGUAAUGUCUGGGAAACUGCCUGAUGGAGGGGGAUAACUACUGGAACCGGUAGCUAAUACCGCAUACCAUCAGAUGUGCCCAGAUGGGAUUAGCUAGUGGGUGGGGUAAGGGCUCACCUAGGCGACGAUCCCUAGCUGGUCUGAGAGGAUGACCAGCCACACUUGAACUGAGACACGGUCCAGACUCCUAUGGGAGGCAGCAGUGGGGAAUAUUGCACAAUGGGCGCAAGCCUUAUGCAGCCAUGCCGCGUGUAUGAAGAAGGCCUUCGGGUUGUAAAGCACUUUCAGCGAGGAGGCGUUACUCGCAGAAGAAGCACCGGCUAACUCCGUGCCAGCAGCCGCGGUAAUAC
rnacentral:rRNA from 1 species